GUAAUACGUAGGUGGCAAGCGUUAUCCGGAAUUACUGGGCGUAAAGAGUGAGCAGGCGGUUAGAUAAGUCUAUGGUUAAAUGCAACAGCUCAACUGUUGUUCGCUAUAGAAACUAUUUAACUAGAGUGCGGGAGAGGUAAGUGGAACUCCAUAUGUAGCGGUGGAAUGCUUAGAUAUAUGGAAGAACACCAGAGGCGAAGGCGGCUUACCAGUCCGUAACUGACGCUCAGUCACGAAAGCGUGGGGAGCAAAUAGGAUUAGAUAUCCUAGUAGUCCACGCCGUAAACGAUGAGAACCUGAUGCAGGAGAUAUUCUGUGUCGAAGCUAACGCGUUAAGUUCUCCGCCUGGGUACUACGUUCGCAAGAAUAAAACUUAAAGGAAUUGACGGGCGCCCGCACAAGCAGUGGAGCAUGGGGUUUAAUUCGUCGAUACACGAAAAACCUUACCAGGGCUUGACAUCCCGCUAAAAGCCUUAGAAAUAAGGAAAUAGUUAUAGCGGUGACAGGUGGUGCAUGGUUGUCGUCAGCUCGUGCCGUGAGGUGUUAGGUUAAGUCCUCAAACGAGCGCAACCCUUGUCUUUAGUUGCCAUUAUUAAUUUAGGAACUCUAGAGAGACUGCCGGCGCAAGCCGGAGGAAGGCGGGGAUGACGUCAAAUCAUCAUGCCCUUUAUGCCCUGGGCCACACCCGUGCUACAAUGGUCGGUACAAAGAGAAGCAACACUGUGAGGUGAAGCAAAUCCCAUAAAGCCGAUCUCAAUUCGGAUUGAAGUCUGCAACUCGACUUCAUGAAGCUGGAAUUGCUAGUAAUCGCAGAUCAGCAACGCUGCGGUGAAUACGUUCUCGGGCGUUGUACACACUGCCCGUCACACCAUGAGAGCCGGUAAUACUCGAAGUCGUUAGCCUAACCGUAAGGAGGGCGGCGCCUAAGGUAGGACUGGUGAUUGGGGUUAAGUCGUAACAAGGUAUCCCUACGAGAACGUGGGGAUG
rnacentral:rRNA from 1 species